UGAAUGAGCUGCCACUGUUCUCUCUCAUCAGUGAGCCAACCAAGUGAUGCAGCUGCAGCUCGGUGUACAGGCAUAUCGGAUGGACGUCUCCCCUGGACUGCUGUCUGCUCAGCCCUCCCUUUUCUUCUGAGCUGGGCUCCCUGGACACUCGCUGUCCUGGUUGCACAAAGAAAAACAUCUCAGAGCCUUGAAGAGAGUGGAGGUGUCUGGUGCAGAGGUGGAUUAAAUCUGUGCCUUUGCUCAGCAGCGAAUUGUGGUUUGUCUGCGGUGAGGACUGCCCUUGGGACGGCACAGCAGGGCUUUGCUGGUGGCUUUGGGUCAGGACUCCACAUACUUGGCUCUGCAGAAAACGUGCUGAAAGCCUCAUCUCCCCUCAGCAGCUGAGGACUGAGGAAGGCUAGUUGAGGAGCUUCUGGUGAUGCCCUUGCAGACGAAGAACAAUGAAAUGGU